GAAGUCAAAAUAUUUAUGUGGUAUCUUUGGAGGGGAGUUGUGCUUACCAAAGACAACAUCCCCCGUCGCAAUUGGCAAGGAAGUAAGAAGUGUGGCUUUUGUACUCACGACGAGACAAUCAAACACCACUUUUUCCAGUGCACAUUUACGCAUUCGACAUGGUCAGUCAUCCAAAUAGAGUGCAAUUUGUAUCCGUCCGCAAGUGUUGCCAAUAUUUUUGGUCACUGCUUGGACAGUAUUCUUGUACGUUUAGAACGCUAA
rnacentral:rRNA from 1 species